CCUGAAAGGUACCACCCUUAUUCUAGAAAUAUCUGCGUAAUCCGUCGUUUAAUUUGCAUAUAAUUAGCUGGGUAUAAAUGUGAGCGCGGCCCCGCCGCGGCUCCCCGCCGCCCGCCUGGGCGCGCUGCCCGAGGGGUCGCUGCGGUCGCUCCUGCGCUUCGGGGGGCCCGGAGGCCGCGGGGAGGACGCGCUGCCGAGAGAAGCCGCGGGCCGUCGGAGGCUGAGCCGCGGUUCGGGGGCUGCCCGCCCGGCGUCACUCUGAGUCCCGUGCAGGAGGCCAGUCAGCCGCGCCUCCCCAGAGUGAGCACCUGUGGCCCCGGGCCAAGGAAAGGGCUUUUCCCGGCUCGCGGGGCCCUCGCUGGGAGAGGCGGAUUCGGCUCCGGGCUCCGUUCCCAGCAUUCGCUACCCCAGGGCGGAGACGAAAAUGCUGUGACAUGUUUAAUUCUAUGGUGACAACCCUCGUGAGAAAGGAAAGGGAGCGCUCCUGAGGAAGCCCCGCGCCCGGCGAGCGCCCCGACGGGAGAGGCCGAGCCGCGCCGGCGCCGCCCGCGCCGGGGGUGCACCGCGGCUGCGCUUUCCACCGCUGACAGCAGCCGGGCCGCGAUGCAGCUCGCAUUUGGCUUUCGCGUUCUCCAGCAACCGUGUUCUUCAGUCUGGGAGGCGUAGAAGAUCCUGCAGAAGGAAAAGUCACAGAUACAGCUGUGUCUUGCUCCUAAGAUCCACCCAGCAGACGAGACAGUACAAGUGAGAUGGGGAGACCUGCAUUGCAUCCCCAUGUCUGUCCCAGUGGAGAUAUCAUUGGAAAAGCUGCAGUGAUCUCUAUAAAAAUCUCAAGCACCUGCUCCCAGUAGGUUCAGCGCUGCACCCUAGGAGAACAGGUCUGACUCCUCAGGGAGAUGCCUCUGGCCCAAGCUUUGUAAACUUGUACCUUCCAGCCAGACUCCUCUAGAGCUCAGUGUCUGUGGUUGCUGGGCUGAGGGGAGCCCCAUUCCUUCACUGGCGAUUCCUGCUCCUGGCUGCACCUGCCCUUCCAACAGUGUCUUCCCUCAGGAAAGGCAGAAUCCUCCAGCCUUCUGUGCCUGCAUGCUGAGAACCCACAGAGAGGAGCAUCCCUGAAGAAUCCCAGCUUGCAGCCAUCCUCCUUGAAGCCCAUUUCCAGUGUCCAGUCUGGCUUUUGGUCAUUUUUGCGUUAGGGAUGCCUCCAACCGUAGCACUUCGGUAAAACCAUGUCCCAGCCCCCAGACUCCCUAGCAAUGCUGGCUCUUGCCCCAGAUUUUCCUGCUAGGAUGAGAGAGUGGAGCUCACAGAGUAUGAAGGAGUGCUACCUUCACAUGGCACAAGCGUCUUUAUCUACAGAACACACAAGGCAGAAAACAGAUGUCCACAAAUCUGUGCAGACGGACACUAUGCCGAUAGCAUGGCAAGGUCGCCUCUCUUAGCCCUGCCCCAUCACUUCCUCCCAGGUGUAGGAACAGGUCAACCCAAAACAGCAUGAAGGUUUCAAGUCAGUGGCUCCUAUUCCAGGGAGAGAGUGAGAAAGGAAGACUAGGAGACAGGCAGAAGAGCCCAUCAGGUGGGUGGCGUCCUGCAGGGAGACAGAGCCCAGGGAGAGCACUAACCACCACCGACAAUUUCCCAUUUCAUACAAUGUUUUUCAGAGGCCAUGAAGAGAAGGAGCUUGUCACAAAGUGCCAAUGGGAACUCACUGCCCACCCCUGAGACCUCCCAAUGCACCAGCUGGUGAGCACCAGAGGCUGGCCCAGUGCCCACAGCCAAGGUCACAUGGUGUGGCCCAUGGUGCCUUCACAGGAAGGGCCUGAGGGCUGGCUGCAGUUUUUUUUUUUUUUUUUUUUUUUUUUUUUCAAACUAAAGGGGAACAUUUUUCCCUGGUAAUCCCCCGGCGCUGAAGUCACUCAGGUGAGCCUCGGUGAAAAGGCCUCAGACACUCAGCAAGUCCCAGGGAGGAUGAGCUCAUCUCUGGCAGCCGGGCUGGCAUGCCCCAGACUGCAGCAACAUGCUCUCCCGCCCAUGCCUGCUCCUGUGCCAGGGCGUGUCCUGCCUUCAGCAGGCCACUGGCCCCCAAAUCCACCACAGAUGGCCAACGGGACGUCCGUGACAUGCCAGUGCCUCCCCCCACCCAGGAGGCUUGCUUCAGGGUCCCCUACUGGCCUGGACCCAGGUGAAAUCAGCUGUUCCAUGUAAAGACAUGCAGAACCAAGAGGAGAGGUGCAGGUAAGCUAUUAGGAGCACGGGUUCUACAACGGUUGGCCUUGCUACUGUCCCUGGCCACUGCCUGUGCCUUCUGGACAGUGACUGCAACUCCUCCUCAGUUAAUGAGCACAGUGACAGAUCCCCAUGCCAUGGGUUCCAUGCAUGGCAGUCACCAUCACCACACUAAGUCCAAGAGCAAGAACUCUGCCAAGACACUAUUAUCAUUAAAAGCAAAUGGUUUGGGUAAUGCAAAAUCCAGAGUGAUCCUAAAGUUUAUGCUUUGGUUAGGAAUACGAUGGUCAAAGAACUGAAGCCACACGAAUGUGCCGUGAGCAUGCUACCUGACUCAUCUCAGAGGGGCUCCCGGCUGCCAGGAGCUACGCUGUAGCUGGUCUCACCUCCGUCAAGGGAGGCAGAGCCUUAUGGGAGAGCCCACUUGUGCCUCGGAAUGAAAGUUCAGGGAUCUGCAGAGAGGAUGGGAAAGGGGAAGCUAAAUGUCCUGUGGAAAAGUGGGAUAGAGGCCUGGCUGGGCAAACCAGGGCCUGAGCUCACUCCUGGUGAUAUACUCUCAGCAGCCCAAGUGGCAGAGGGGGCAAGGAGUGCCUGCUACCUGAGGCCUCUGCUUGGGAAGUUCCCGGCAGGAGAGCCAGGCAGGACGUGGGCAGUGACAGCUGGGGCUGGCAGGCAAGGACACGCAGUUGGGAGGGGCGCAGCCGGCAGCACCUGGGAAUGCAGCACCAUGCUCACAGAGGCUCCACAUUGCACUGGAGGGGGCUCUGCUCCACGGUGUAUGCCCUCCAGUCCUCACAGGGGCCCUUCCAGGACCAACCCAACCAGUGUCGGGAGUCCUCACCCUCUGCCAGCUGGGGCACACUGCGGCCCCUGGGUGUUUUCAGAAUGCCAAUCACAUUCUCAAGCUUAACUGUCUCUAUGGCACUUUAGUGGUGAAUGGCAGGGCUGCUCGCCAUUUCCUGGAGGAGGUAAGCCUAACGGCAGUUCCCACCAAUAAGCUUGGCAUAGGCAUCACAUGCUCCUGGGUCUCACCUUGUACAAGCUUUGUUGGGGGCCAGACGUCCACCUGCAGGUCCAGCCGUUUCUCAUCACAACAGACAGCCCACCACAGGGACAGCCACAACUUAGCCCCAUGGUUCUGCUCCCAGAUGUGGACAUCUGGGGACAUUCUAGUUGUCACAAGUUGGGGGAUGCUCCUGGUAUCUAGAUGGAAGAGGCCAGGAGCACCGAUAAACAGCUAUCCACUUGCAGAUGCCCCAGGAAAGAAAUGGCCGGCCCAGAAGAUCCGCCGUGCUGAGGGUAAGAACCCUGGCCUCACAUGCACGUUUCCAGCAGGUUGGAAGGUGGUUCCUACAGAGUCAGGCUGUUCAAAGGCCUGAAUCUCAUUUGCAGUCUUGACAUUAGAACAUGGGCUGCAAUUGGAGAAGGGAGAUAAAGCCAAAGGGAAGAUUUUUGCAAAACAAGCUGCAGGUGAGCUUGGAGAAGGGCAGAGCCACACACCCAGAGUGGAAAAGUAUGCUGAUCUUCCCAGUGGCUCUAAAACAACAACCAAAAGACAAAAAACCACCAGCAUCCGUCUUCUUCCUUUACAGCCAGACAAAUCUCCCUGGCUCUAAUGGGUUUCAGGCAGAGAUGGCUUCCUGAGGGCAGUGCCAGUCAGAACGGGUGGGGCAGGCCCUGGAGUUCUAAUCGCCCCAAGCUGAGUCCCCCAUGGCUCAGCACAUGAUCCUUCGUGUGGCACUCACAGCCCCAGCUUGUGCACUGUGUGGUCGUUCUCUCUCCAAGUACUCUCUGCCUAGGAGCCUGCUUCAUCCUGCUUCAUGUCUCUGAAGCUGAGAGAAGCCCCUUGUGUGUUUCUGCAGACAUUCGCUUGGCUUCAGCACUCACCGCUCCCCAGACCACAAAGGUAUAUGGGUUUAGCAAAACCCGUCAUAAUGAUUUUUCUUGAUCAAAAACAGCCCUAACAAUUUUUAUACAACUUUUAAAUAAAAACAAAUGGAAAACACAAUAAAUAAAUCCUCUAAA